GGUACCGUAAGAAUAAGCACCGGCUAACUACGUGCCAGCAGCCGCGGUAAUACGUAGGGUGCAAGCGUUAAUCGGAAUUACUGGGCGUAAAGCGUGCGCAGGCGGUGAUGUAAGACAGUCGUGAAAUCCCCGGGCUCAACCUGGGAAUUGCGAUUGUGACUGCAUCGCUGGAGUGCGGCAGAGGGGGAUGGAAUUCCGCGUGUAGCAGUGAAAUGCGUAGAUAUGCGGAGGAACACCGAUGGCGAAGGCAAUCCCCUGGGCCUGCACUGACGCUCAUGCACGAAAGCGUGGGGAGCAAACAGGAUUAGAUACCCUGGUAGUCCACGCCCUAAACGAUGUCAAC
rnacentral:rRNA from 1 species